AUGAACGCUGGCGGCGUGCCUAAUCCCUGCCAGUCGAGCGAACAGACGAGGAGCUUGCUCCUCUGAUGUUAGCGGCGGACGGGUGAGUAACACGUGGAUAACCUACCUAUAAGACUGGGAUAACUUCGGGAAACCGGAGCUAAUACCGGAUAACAUGUUGAACCGCAUGGUUCAACAGUGAAAGACGGUCUUGCUGUCACUUAUAGAUGGAUCCGCGCCGCAUUAGCUAGUUGGUAAGGUAACGGCUUACCAAGGCACCGAUGCGUAGCCGACCUGAGAGGGUGAUCGGCCACACUGGAACUGAGACACGGUCCAGACUCCUACGGGAGGCAGCAGUAGGGAAUCUUCCGCAAUGGGCGAAAGCCUGACGGAGCAACGCCGCGUGAGUGAAGAAGGUCUUCGGAUCGUAAAACUCUGUUAUUAGGGAAGAACAAAUGUGUAAGUAACUAUGCACGUCUUGACGGUACCUAAUCAGAAAGCCACGGCUAACUACGUG
rnacentral:rRNA from 1 species